rnacentral:lncRNA from 1 species
UGACACAUAUUGUAACUUGUGGUGCAUUUAAGAUAAUAUUAAUGUUAAUCUUGUGAUUAACAGGGUUCCCACAACUUCUAACACAUCAAAUUCAAAGACUUUUCAAGGACUUUCCAGGUCCAAUUUAUAGUUUUAGACACGUGUCCAGGAUAUUUUCGGAAAAACACCGAGGAUUUUUAUAAUGAGAACUAGCAGGAUUUACAGCAGCUCACAGGGAGAGAGGCUCGAAUGUGUGAACAUUUCUCAAGUGUGCGGUGUCACCAUGAGGGCAGACUUUGUGCUCCCUGGCCUUCUCUCACACAGCGCAGCAAAACUCUAUUGUGUAAGUUGAGUGAUGGAGACGACAACAUAUUUACUACUUAAAGAGCUAAGUAAAACAACUUCAAUCAUUGCACACAACCUACAAAUUCAAGCGCUUUCAAUAAACCACUACUAAAAUAAUUUUCCCCCUCGAAUUUGCAGACUUUCGGGGAUUUCCAGGACCUAAGGGAUCCAUGGAAUAAGUCAUGUACUGGCCUUACUGCAGAUACAGAGAGAUUUACCAAGAUAAAUACAAGACGUGGCCACACAGACGCCCCCCCCUCCCCCUCCCCCUCUGUUCUUUCAAUAAGUUGUCUUCCUCUCAAGUUGUGGGCUUACAUCUUAAAAUAGAUGAUAGAUAGAUAGUUCCUGCAGCUGUCAUGUCACCUCUUUGUGUCUCUGUCUCCUUUAGUAUCUGGGGAAAUGGUACUUUAAAGCAACGGUCAGUCCGAGAGAGUCUGACAUCCAGAAGUUCAAAGACCUGGACAACAUGUGGAUCUCCAUGGAGCAGCCGGCAAAUGACACACUGCUGGUGACCGGACAUAUGCGCAGAGGAGAUGACUGCAUAACACAGAUCUGGACCUAUUUUAUCCAUCCUGAGAGGGAUGAUGUUGAAAUGGAAGGAAGGCCGAAGCGGAGGACCCUGCUCUGGAGUGGCAAGUGGGCCAACUGCUCCGAGUGCAUCAUUUUCCAGGAAGUAGAACCACCUCUAAAGGAGACGGACUCAGAGGACUCCCUCAACAGAUACUUGCUGUACGGCCGGCAGGGUGACGUCGACCACGAGGUGGUGAAAGCAUUUCUGGAAAACAUGUCUUGUCAUAACGUGUUGGCAAGUGUCAGACUUCCUCAAGAGAAAGAGUUUUGCACCUAAAUAUUAACAUUGAGGUCUUACAGGAUGCUGCAGGAGCCGUGAACGUCCUGGACGACAAUACAAUGAUUUCAUCUUUUUACUGUGUAACGGUGAAACAAAUAAAGCAACAAUAAAAACAUUCCCUCAGGAAA